GACGAACGCUGGCGGCGUGCUUAACACAUGCAAGUCGAACGGAAAGGCCCUGCUUUUGUGGGGUGCUCGAGUGGCGAACGGGUGAGUAACACGUGAGUAACCUGCCCUUGACUUUGGGAUAACUUCAGGAAACUGGGGCUAAUACCGGAUAGGAGCUCCUGCUGCAUGGUGGGGGUUGGAAAGUUUCGGCGGUUGGGGAUGGACUCGCGGCUUAUCAGCUUGUUGGUGGGGUAGUGGCUUACCAAGGCUUUGACGGGUAGCCGGCCUGAGAGGGUGACCGGCAACAUUGGGACUGAGAUACGGCCCAGACUCCUACGGGAGGAAGAAGGGGGGAAUAUUGCACAAUGGGCGGAAGCCGGAUGCAGCAACGCCGCGUGCGGGAUGACGGCCUUCGGGUUGUAAACCGCUUUCGCCUGUGACGAAGCGUGAGUGACGGUAAUGGGUAAAGAAGCACCGGCUAACUACGUG
rnacentral:rRNA from 1 species